rnacentral:rRNA from 1 species
AUUGAACGCUGGCGGCAGGCUUAACACAUGCAAGUCGAGCGGAGAUGAGGUGCUUGCACCUUAUCUUAGCGGCGGACGGGUGAGUAAUGCUUAGGAAUCUGCCUAUUAGUGGGGGACAACAUUCCGAAAGGAAUGCUAAUACCGCAUACGUCCUACGGGAGAAAGCAGGGGAUCUUCGGACCUUGCGCUAAUAGAUGAGCCUAAGUCGGAUUAGCUAGUUGGUGGGGAAAAGGACUACCAAGGCGACGAUCUGUAGCGGGUCUGAGAGGAUGAUCCGCCACACUGGGACUGAGACACGGCCCAGACUCCUACGGGAGGCAGCAGUGGGGAAUAUUGGACAAGGGGGGAAACCCUGAUCCAGCCAUGCCGCGUGUGUGAAGAAGGCCUUAUGGUUGUAAAGCACUUUAAGCGAGGAGGGGGCUACUGAGACUAAUACUCUUGGAUAGUGGACGUUACUCGCAGAAUAAGCACCGGCUAACUCUGUGCCAGCCGCCGCGGUAA